rnacentral:other from 1 species
UUGUAGUUAUUGUAAAGGUAAUUAAUGGCAAGCUUGUUUCAUAUUUAAACAUCUUCCACUUUUUCACCGGAUACAAGGAAUUGCACAAAUACGUGUGUUUCACACAAGGAGGAUUUUUAAUAUGCAAACAGGUACAGUUAAAUGGUUCAACGCAGACAAAGGUUUUGGUUUCAUUACAGCAGAAGACGGUAACGAUGUAUUCGUUCACUUUUCAGCUAUCCAAGGCGACGGCUUCAAAACUUUAGAAGAAGGCCAAGCAGUAACAUUUGAUGUUGAAGAAGGUCAACGUGGCCCUCAAGCAACAAACGUUAACAAAGCUUAAUUUAAAUUAAACUUAUAAGCCUGACGAGAUUUCUCGUCAGGCUUUUU